CUCUACUAGGUUUUAGGUCAUGGUGUAUGGUUAGUUUUCUAUUUGGCUUUGGGAAGAGGAUGUGGACAAGAGAGCAUAAAAGCAAUGUCUAUCCACCCAAUCCCCUAAAUCGAGGUUACGAAGCGUUUGACAACACCAAUUACAAUGGUUUUUUGGAUGCAAUAUCAUGAAGAUAGAAUACUUAAAUGGAUAAAAUAACUUGGCAUUUAAGUGAUUUUCUUUUAUGGAGUAUCACAUUCAUACUUCUUAAUAUUUUUGUUAAAUUAAAAAUUUGAGUUGAUGAAUGACAAUCUUUUUAUCCACUAAAGUUUUCUUGAAUUAUUAAUCUUAAAAGAUAAAGCUGCUACUAAGCUAUUUUUCAGUGCAUAUGUUUCUAAAUGUGUUGCAGUCUUGCUCGGCAAUGUGCUCAACUUUGGUUGAAGACACGGGAAGCUCUUGGGCACCCAUUAGGAUUUUCCAAGGAAAAUGAUCUCUUGUUUCAAAAUCUUCCAAAUUCCCAAUUGCAGAAGGUAUUGGAACGUCCUGGAGCAUUUGUUCUUGAGAUUGGCACUGAAGAGAUGCCUCCUCAUGAUGUAGUUGAAGCAAGUAACCAGCUUAGAAGUCUCACUGUGGAGUACCUGAAAAAAAGAAGACUGAGUUGUGGAGAAGUUUCAUCAUAUGGUACACCACGCCGACUUGUGGUCUUUACUGAGAGUCUAAGUCAUAUGCAAGCAGAGAAUGAGAUUGAGGUUCGAGGCCCUCCAGCAGCAAGGGCAUUUGAUUCCGAAGGAACUCCUACUCAGGCCGCUAAGGGAUUCUGCCGCAAGAAUGGCAUAACCCUGGAUGAUCUAUACAAGAAAUUUGAAGGAAAGACUGAGUAUGUAUAUGCUAGGAUCAAGGAAUCAAAACAAUCCACUUUUGAGGUUCUUGUAGAUGGUCUACCAAGUAUUUUGGCUUUGAUUUCUUUUCCAAAAUCGAUGAGAUGGAAUUCCCAGGUCUUGUUUAGUAGGCCAAUUCGCUGGAUUUUAGCACUACAUGGUGAAACAGUUUUGCCUUUUUCUUUUGGAGGAGUUUCAAGUGGGAGGCAAACAUGUGGGCUUCGGAGUUCGCACUCAGCCAUACUUGAGAUAGAAACUGCAGAGGCAUACCUGCAUAAGAUGAGGGAAGCUGGCAUCUUGGUUAAUAUGAAGGAACGGAAAGAAAAAAUUAUAUGUGAUGCUGACUCAUUAGCUUCAAGUGUUAACAGCAAUGCAAUAAUGCAAGACAGUUUAGUUGAGGAGGUUGUAAACCUUGUGGAGGCUCCUCUUGCUAUACUUGGUAGAUUUGAUGAAUAUUUCUUGGAGAUUCCAAAGGACAUAUUGAUUAUGGUCAUGCAAAAGCACCAGAAGUAUUUCCCCUUGAUCUGCCAACAUACAGGAACUUUAAUGCCAUACUUCAUUGCUGUUGCAAAUGGACUAAUUGAUGAACAAGUAGUUCGGAAAGGAAAUGAAGCUGUACUAAGAGCCCGCUAUGAGGAUGCAAGUUUUUUCUAUAAAAUGGACACCCAAAAGAAAUUUUCUGAAUUUCGAGGCCUUCUAAGUGGAAUUCUUUUUCAUGAACAACUUGGAACAAUGUUGGACAAGGUGGUUCGCAUUCAAAAGAUUGUUGGAAAGUUGUCACAUUCUCUGGGAAACGAGAAAAGUGUGCAUACGAUUGUUGAAGAUGCAGCAGCUCUUGCCAUGUCUGAUCUUGCAACUUCUAUUGUCACUGAAUUCACCUCUCUAUCAGGAAUAAUGGCCCGCCAUUAUGCUCUAAGGGAUGGGUAUCCCGAGCAGAUUGCUGAGGCUCUUUUUGAAAUUACACUUCCAAGAUUUUCUGGGGAUAUACUUCCAAAAUCUGAUGCUGGAAUUGUUCUGGCCAUUGCUGAUAGACUGGACAGUCUUGUUGGCUUAUUUGGUUCUGGAUGUCAGCCAAGUUCAACAAAUGACCCCUUUGGUUUGAGAAGAGUGUCUUAUGGACUGGUGCAGAUACUAGUGGAGAAUAACAAGGAUUUGUCCUUGAAAGAGGCUUUGACAUUAGUGGCUGAUGUCCAACCCAUAGAAAUUAGUGCUAGUGUUAUUGAUGAUGUAACAAAAUUUGUUACUAGAAGGUUGGAACAACUAUUGGUAGAUAAGGGCAUAAGUCCUGAAAUUGUGCGUGCUGUGCUCUCAGAGCGUGCUAACUGGCCUUGUCUAGCUGCCAGGUCAGCUAUUGAAAUGGAGACAUUAUCGAGAAGUGAGAUGUUUUCUAAAGUGAUUCAAGCAUACUCGCGACCCACGAGAAUUAUUCGUGGAAAGAAAAUUGGUUCUAAUAUUGAGGAAGCCCUGUCAUUGUGUCCUGUCGUCGCAUAUUCGGAGAGAUCUGCACCGUCUACUAUGUCUGAACAAGCCUUGUGUGAGGGAAUCACCAAUCAGCACCACCUUGUACACAUAGUCGAUCUUGUCACUUCCACCAUUAGCUAUUUCCUCCAACAUCACUCUCGCCAUUCUACUGUUGUUUUCUGAUUCUGUCACAUCGUCAUUCCCAACAGACUUCUGUGCCUCCAGAUCUUCCCUGUGAUUUCUUUCAUUUGCAGCCUGCAAUCUUAGAUCUCUGGUGCUUCUGCUAUUGUUCUUGCAGUUUCAGAAUUCUUCCAGUGUCUUUUGAGCCCCACUACCACUUUCCUGUCAUUACUCAGCAGAUUUCUGCUCAUCUUGUUAGUUUAUUCAGUAUGUAAAUUUGCAACAGUAGAGAACCCUAAUUGAUUGAAAAUGCCAAGAGCAGAUGAAUAUUGUUGCUUUCUCCAUCAUCUUUCAUGAUCAACUAAUGAUCAUCCUGGUUCAACCUUAAACAAUUGGUCCACCCCUAGAAACAUCCAAGAUGCAUCUAGUUAUCCCUAUUAACCCUUAAUUAGACCUUCAAAUAUAACAAUAGCUAUUCCCAUGCGUCAACAAAUUCAGGUAGAUAGUCAAAGACUCGUAGUUCCCUUUUCCUUUGGUUAUAAGAAACAACAUACUGAAACCAUUCUUUUGUUCGGUCUUUGUUGAGUAAUCUGGUUAUUGAAGGAUAGAGGUGGAAGAUUUGAUACAUGGCUUGCCAAUGGGGAUGGCGUAGAAGAAUCAGCCAUUGCUUUCCAAUAUUCUUGCUAGGUUGUUCCCAGCUAUGAUACCAUGAAACAAGAAUUGAUCUUGAACACACAAAAGGAUCGCAGUGAAGUAACUGAAGCUGCAUUUGAAAAGAGCGAAGAAGAAGCUUUAUGGAAUGCUUACAUGAAAGUAGCAUCUAAAAUUCACCAUG